rnacentral:ncRNA from 1 species
UGGGAGUUUGAUUCUUGUUUAGUAUUUUAUGUUAUAAUUGAUAAGUACAUGCAAAUUAUUAUGGGUUGUAGGUAACUUAUUUUAUAUUAGUUAAUUUAGACACUGAGCUAGAAGUUAGAGGGGCAGUAUAAAAUAUUGGACUAUAAGUGGAAGCUUGAUUCAACGGUUAUAAGAAAUCUGACUAAGUUUUGUGCCAGCAGCCGCGGUUAUACCUUAAGAUUAAGUAAGAUAAUUUAGUUAAAUAGUUAAUUGAGAUUUAUUUGACUAAUUAAAUUUAUUUUAAUAAAAAGUAAAAUUGGAUUAUUAAUUAGUAAAUUAGAUUAGUUAAAAAUAAAAUGAAGCUAUGAAAGCCGGGGUAUGAACUAGGAUUAGAUACCCUACUACACCCAGCUGUAAAGAAUAAUACUUGAGUAUUAAUAGAUAUGUUCUUUAAAUUCAAAGAAUUUGGCGGUAUUUUAGUCCCGUUAGAGGAACCUGUUCUUUAAACGAUAAAACACGUAAAAUCUUACUUAAUUUUGUUAUAGUUUGUAUACCGUCAUUAUUAAAUAAUCUUGAAAGAGUUAACUAUUGGGGUUAACAUAUAAAGUUAAAUGUAUUAGAUCAAGGUGCAGCUUAUAGUUAAGUAGUAAUGGGUUACAAUGAUAUACACACUUAAAACGAAUUGUAGGUAGAAUUAUUUACAAGAAGGUGGAUGUAAUUGUAAAAAUAAUUUAAUAAGAUAUUUUGAGAUAGGCUCUAAAUUAUGUACAUAUCGCCCGUCGCUUUCAUUUAAGAUGAAAUAAGUCGUAACAUAGUAGAUAUACUGGAAAGUGUGUCUAGAAAUAG